GAGAAGCCACAGGCAGCAGAACGAGCCCUUUGGUCUCCCUGGUGGUCUCUCGAAGACCUUUCCAGAGGCAUCAAGGAAGAGCAGGGAAGCCAAGGGAGCCAGAGGGCCACCUGCCCCAGCACCCUCUUCACAGGCACAUUGUUCUGAAGAAGCAAUUCAGAAAACACACACACUGAUAUCCAGCAGUGAUCCUCACCUCUCCAUUGCCAGCACCCAGGAGCCAUUCAUUGCUUUUUCAAGAUAUAGUUGAAGCAAGGACAAAAGCAAAGAACUUCAUUUGGGAAUUUGGUGUAGUGAUAAAGGAGAGAAGAGAGAAAGCAGAAGUGCCCAGUGACUUUUUCCUUCUGUGCUAUUCAACAAGGCAGCCCAGUGUUCAACCCUAAAGAAGGCCCAGAUGGAAAUCACUGGCAUCAGGAAGAACUGAAAUCCCCAGCUGAGAUAAAGCAGAAGACUUCCAGGCAGAAGAAAUCAGAAUCAGACCUACUAGUGCUGCCAUCUGUUCCUCUGCACUCCUAGAGCUUGUG